GACGAACCGAGCGAACGUUGUUCGGAAUCACUGGGCUUAAAGGGCGCGUAGGCGGGCUGCCAAGUCCGUGGUGAAAUCCCCCGGCUCAACCGGGGAAGGGCCUCGGAUACUGGCGGCCUCGAGGGGGUAGGGGCGUGCGGAACUGUGGGUGGAGCGGUGAAAUGCGUUGAUAUCCACAGGAACUCCGGUGGCGAAGGCGGCACGCUGGACCCCAUCUGACGCUGAGGCGCGAAAGCCAGGGGA
rnacentral:rRNA from 1 species